AUGCGCGAGUUUCUUCGUAUAAAAACAACAAACAGAAUUCAGCUCGAAACUGCUAAACCCCGACACACAAGUGUGACAGAGGUUUUUGUACGACGGCUUCAUUGGAAUGUAUCACUGUGGUACACUUUUGGUGGCGGCUCCAAACUCAUUAUAAGAACUGGUCCGGUGGUGAAGCCCUCCGUGUCUCUGCUCCCUCCCUCCUCUCUGCAGCUCUCUGAGGGAUCGGCCUCACUGUUCUGCCUGCUCUCAGCCUAUUCUCCACAGGGGGCGCUGCUGACCUGGACCGUGGAUGGUGCCGAGGUAAACGAGGGGAUUGUUACCAGCACAGAAGAACAGAAGAACGGCUUCUACAGCCGCAGCAGCACCCUGACCCUCAGCAAAGAACGCUGGGAAGAGGCCGAGGUGUUUGGCUGUACCGUCUCCUACCACGACACGACUCAGAUCACCUCGUUCCGAAAGAGUCGCUGUGACGCUCACUAGAAAUCAAGUGUACACU